rnacentral:rRNA from 1 species
UAGUCCACGCCCUAAACGAUGUUUACUCGAUCUUUGCGGUACACUGUAAGGGUCCAAGCGAAAGCGUUAAGUAAACCACCUGGGGAGUACGUUCGCAAGAAUGAAACUCAAAGGAAUUGACGGGGGUCCGCACAAGCGGUGGAGUAUGUGGUUUAAUUCGAUGAUACGCGAAGAACCUUACCUAGGCUCUAAUGCUAUUCGACAGUUUCAGAAAUGAAUCCUUCCUUCGGGACGAAUAGUAAGGUGCUGCAUGGUUGUCGUCAGCUCGUGCCGUGAGGUGUUGGGUUAAGUCCCGCAACGAGCGCAACCCCUAUUUUUAGUUGCCAGCGAGUAAUGUCGGGGACUCUAAAGAUACUGCCUGCGUAAGCAGAGAGGAAGGCGGGGAUGACGUNAAAUCAUCAUGGCCUUUAUGCCUAGGGGCUACACACGUACUACAAUGGGUAAUGAC